AAAAGAUUAGUUAAAUUAAUAUUAGUAUGUCAUGCUAAAGUUAUGGGUAUACCCCCAUAUCUUUUA
rnacentral:tRNA from 1 species